rnacentral:rRNA from 1 species
GGUUGACCUCGGAUCAGGUAGGGAUACCCGCUGAACUUAAGCAUAUCAAUAAGCGGAGGAAAAGAAACCAACAGGGAUUGCCUCAGUAACGGCGAGUGAAGCGGCAAGAGCUCAAAUUUGAAAGCUGGCCCCUUCGGGGUCCGCGUUGUAAUUUGCAGAGGAUGCUUCGGGUGCAGCCCCCGUCUAAGUGCCCUGGAACGGGCCGUCAUAGAGGGUGAGAAUCCCGUCUGGGACGGGGUGUCUGCGUCCGUGUGAAGCUCCUUCGACGAGUCGAGUUGUUUGGGAAUGCAGCUCUAAAUGGGUGGUAAAUUUCAUCUAAAGCUAAAUACUGGCCGGAGACCGAUAGCGCACAAGUAGAGUGAUCGAAAGAUGAAAAGCACUUUGAAAAGAGAGUUAAACAGCACGUGAAAUUGUUGAAAGGGAAGCGUUUGCGACCAGACUCGCCCGCGGGGUUCAGCCGGCAUUCGUGCCGGUGUACUUCCCCGUGGGCGGGCCAGCGUCGGUUUGGGCGGCCGGUCAAAGGCCCUCGGAAUGUGUCACCCCUCGGGGUGUCUUAUAGCCGAGGGUGCAAUGCGGCCUGCCCGGACCGAGGAACGCGCUUCGGCUCGGACGCUGGCGUAAUGGUCGUAAAUGACC